rnacentral:rRNA from 1 species
UCAUUUGACGUUAGCUGCAGAAGAAGCACCGGCUAACUCCGUGCCAGCAGCCGCGGUAAUACGGAGGGUGCGAGCGUUAAUCGGAAUUACUGGGCGUAAAGCGCAUGCAGGUGGUUUGUUAAGUCAGAUGUGAAAGCCCGGGGCUCAACCUCGGAAUAGCAUUUGAAACUGGCAGACUAGAGUACUGUAGAGGGGGGUAGAAUUUCAGGUGUAGCGGUGAAAUGCGUAGAGAUCUGAAGGAAUACCGGUGGCGAAGGCGGCCCCCUGGACAGAUACUGACACUCAGAUGCGAAAGCGUGGGGAGCAAACAGGAUUAGAUACCCUGGUAGUCCACGCCGUAAACGAUGUCUACUUGGAGGUUGUGGCCUUGAGCCGUGGCUUUCGGAGCUAACGCGUUAAGUAGACCGCCUGGGGAGUACGGUCGCAAGAUUAAAACUCAAAUGAAUUGACGGGGGCCCGCACAAGCGGUGGAGCAUGUGGUUUAAUUCGAUGCAACGCGAAGAACCUUACCUACUCUUGACAUCCUGGCCCUUACGAGUAGGGCUACACACGUGCUACAAUGGCGCAUACAGAGGGCGGCCAACUUGCGAAAGUGAGCGAAUCCCAAAAAGUGCGUCGUAGUCCGGAUUGGAGUCUGCAACUCGACUCCAUGAAGUCGGAAUCGCUAGUAAUCGUAGAUCAGAAUGCUACGGUGAAUACGUUCCCGGGCCUUGUACACACCGCCCGUCACACCAUGGGAGUGGGCUGCAAAAGAAGUGGGUAGUUUAACCUUCGGGGGGACGCUCACCACUUUGUGGUUCAUGACUGGGGUGAAGUCGUAACAAGGUAGCGCUAGGGGAACCUGGCGCUGGAUCACCUCCUUAUACGAUGAU